AAAUAAGAAGUGAAUUAUCGCAAUCAGUUUCGACCUGAUCAAUGGUAUUAAAAUACCCUUAUUUU
rnacentral:tRNA from 1 species